rnacentral:rRNA from 1 species
AUUGAACGCUGGCGGCAGGCCUAACACAUGCAAGUCGAACGAGUGGCGGACGGGUGAGUAAUGUUUGGGCAUCUAGCUUAUGGAGGGGGAUAACUACUGGAAACUGUAGCUAAUACCGCGUACCAUCGGAUGUGCCCAAGUGGGAUUAGCUUGUUUGUGAGGUAACGGCUAACCAAGCCGACGAUCUCUAGCUGGUCUGAGAGUAUGACCAGCCACACUGGAACUGAGCCACGGCCCAGACUCCUACGGUAGGCAGCAGUGGGGAAGAUUGCGCAAUGGGGGCAAGCCUGACGCAGCCAUGCCGCGUGUAUGAAGAAGGCCUUCGGGUUGUAAAGUACUUUCAGCGGUGAGGCGUUACCUACAGAAGAAGCACCGGCUAACUCCGUGCCAGCAGCCGCGGUAAUAC